GCGGCGGACGGGUGAGUAACACGUGGGCAACCUACCUUGUAGAUUGGGAUAACUCCGGGAAACCGGGGCUAAUACCAAAUAAUCCAUUUUGCUUCAUGGCGAAAUGUUGAAAGACGGUCUCGGCUGUCACUACAAGAUGGGCCCGCGGCGUAUUAGCUAGUUGGUAGGGUAAUGGCCUACCAAGGCGACGAUACGUAGCCGACCUGAGAGGGUGAUCGGCCACACUGGGACUGAGACACGGCCCAGACUCCUACGGGAGGCAGCAGUAGGGAAUCUUCCACAAUGGACGAAAGUCUGAUGGAGCAACGCCGCGUGAGUGAAGAAGGUUUUCGGAUCGUAAAACUCUGUUGUAAGGGAAGAACACGUACGAGAGUAACUGCUCGUACCUUGACGGUACCUUAUUAGAAAGCCACGGCUAACUACGUGCCAGCAGCCGCGGUAAUACGUAGGUGGCAAGCGUUGUCCGGAAUUAUUGGGCGUAAAGCGCGCGCAGGCGGUUCUUUAAGUCCGAUGUGAAAGCCCACGGCUCAACCGUGGAGGGUCAUUGGAAACUGGGGAACUUGAGUACAGAAGAGGAAAGCGGAAUUCCACGUGUAGCGGUGAAAU
rnacentral:rRNA from 1 species